AAAAGUGAAGUAUAAUUGUAUAGUUUGUUGUCGAUAAACAGGGUGAGGCUUUUAU
rnacentral:tRNA from 1 species